rnacentral:rRNA from 1 species
AUUGAACGCUGGCGGCAGGCCUAACACAUGCAAGUCGAGCGAGCGGCGGACGGGUGAGUAAUGUCUGGGAAACUGCCUGAUGGAGGGGGAUAACUACUGGAAACGGUAGCUAAUACCGCAUACCAUCAGAUGUGCCCAGAUGGGAUUGGCUAGUAGGUGGGGUAACGGCUCACCUCGGCGGCGAUCCCGAGCUGGUCUGAGAGGAUGACCAGCCACACUGGGACGGAGACACGGGCCAGAGUCCUAGGGGAGGCAGCAGUGGGGAAUAUUGGACAAUGGGCGCAAGCCUGAUGCAGACAUGCCGCGUGUGUGAAGAAGGCCUUCGGGUUUUAAAGCACUUUCAGGGGGGAGGCGUUACCCGCAGAAGAAGCACCGGCUAACUCCGGGCCAGCCGCCGCGGUAAUAC